rnacentral:rRNA from 1 species
AUGGGUUCCUUAUUCUCUUCCCCAGCCGCCGGCGGCGGCGACGGCGGCUACGAUUACGCCAACGCUCUCCGGGACUCCGACGAGUACAUCGGCCGCUCCAUUGAGAAAAAAGAAGAGGACAUCCCCUUCCGAACUUGUACGCUUGUCGACAUCGCCCUCCAUCAUUACAACUCCAACAACCCGGGUGCCAAGUUCGAGUAUCCUGAGUAUCCUCCUCAGUCGACAUCGGAGAUGAAGGCCGCCUGCGUCGGUUUCAGAGGAACUUUCUGGUACCACCUCAGCUUUUCGGCUCGCCCGAUGGAUGCCACCGCCGAGAAGCAGCACUUCUUCGCCGAGCUAUAUUAUCAUAGACAGUUCCGCCAACUAGCUGUUCAGACAUGCACCAUCUUAGGAAAGCCGUUGUGCCGCUUUAGCAGGUCAUGUGCAUUUUGUCCAGAGGAAUCCAAUAUCUUGCACCCAAGCGAUGCAGAAUUUGUGUGUGGAAAGCCUGAUCACAAAAAAGAGUUCUUCCGCAAGAGAGAUAUGCUAGUGCGGCCAUACAAUUCUUUUAUGAUACCUCCUGAUAUAGAUAACAGCGAUGAUCCAUGA